rnacentral:misc_RNA from 1 species
UUCUUCUUCUUCUUUUCUCUUGACAUCUGUUUAUGUCUAUCUAUUUCCUUUUUCUUUCUCUUUUGAUGUCCUACAUUACAAGGAAAGUGUUUAACCAUUGGUUACUGGCAAAUGAGCUAUGCAUGUCUGUUUUGAUAGUGAGGGUACUAGGCCCUCUAUAUUUGAAUUAUCAUUAUCUUGUUUGGUUAACAAGGACAUGGAAUGGGAUAUACACCCUGAUUUCUAGUACUUGACGCCCCCUUUGAAAUGACAAUCAAGUACUAAAUACCUUUUUCUUGAUUUCUCAUUCUCAUUCCUAUAUUCUAGUUAUCAAACACUCAAUUAAUGUGAUGGAUUUUAAUUUCUAUUCUUAUUUUUCUUUCCUAGUAAGGAACCAAUACAGGUUAAGCAGUGUUGCCAAAAGUGCUAAGCGCCCUUAAGGCGAGAAG